rnacentral:rRNA from 1 species
GGGUCAGUAGGUUGGUCGUGCCACCGGUACGUACUGGUCUCACUGAUUCGUACUUCCUGAAGAACCGUAAUGCCGUUAAUUUGGUGUUGCGGGGAAACAGGACUGUUACUUUGAAAAAAUUAGAGUGUUUAAAGCAAGCUAACGCUUGAAUACAUUAGCAUGGAAUAAUGAAAUAGGACGAUCGAUCCUAUUUUGUUGGUUUCUAGGAUUGACGUA